rnacentral:rRNA from 1 species
UUCGAUUCUGGCUCAGGAUGAACGCUAGCGACAGGCUUAACACAUGCAAGUCGAGGGGCAGCACGGGAGUAGCAAUACGUUUGGUGGCGACCGGCGCACGGGUGAGUAACGCGUAUGCAACCUACCUAUCAGAGGGGAAUAACCCGGCGAAAGUCGGACUAAUACCGCAUAAAACAGGGGCACCGCAUGGUGAUAUUUGUUAAAGAAAUUCGCUGAUAGAUGGGCAUGCGUUCCAUUAGGUAGUUGGUGAGGUAACGGCUCACCAAGCCGACGAUGGAUAGGGGAACUGAGAGGUUGGUCCCCCACACUGGUACUGAGACACGGACCAGACUCCUACGGGAGGCAGCAGUGAGGAAUAUUGGUCAAUGGGCGGGAGCCUGAACCAGCCAAGUCGCGUGAAGGAAAAGAAGGAUCUAUGGUUCGUAAACUUCUUUUGCAGGGGAAUAAAGUGCAGGACGUGUCCUGUUUUGUAUGUACCCUGAGAAUAAGGAUCGGCUAACUCCGUGCCAGCAGCAGC